rnacentral:rRNA from 1 species
UACAGAGGUCCCGAGCGUUACUGAGAAUCACUGGGUUUAAAGGGUGCGUAGGUGGCGCGUUAAGUCAGUUGUGAAAUCCCCGGGCUCAACCCGGGAACUGCUUCUGAUACUGGCGUGCUUGAGGCCAGUAGGGGUCACUAGAACUGACGGUGGAGCGGUGAAAUGCGUAGAUAUCGUCAGGAAUGCCGGUGGUGAAGACGGGUGACUGGGCUGGUUCUGACACUGAGGCACGAAAGCGUGGGGAGCGAACGGG